rnacentral:rRNA from 1 species
UGGGGAAUCUUGCGCAAUGGGGGCAACCCUGACGCAGCGACGCCGCGUGUGUGACGAAGGCCUUCGGGUCGUAAAGCACUGUCAGCCGGGAAGAAGACAUGCGUGUGAACCACGCGUGUGUUGACGGUACCGGCGAAGGAAGCACCGGCCAACUCCGUGCCAGCAGCCGCGGUAAGACGGAGGGUGCAAGCGUUGUUCGGAAUCAUUGGGCGUACAGGGCGCGCAGGCGGCCGUUCAAGUCCGGUGUGAAAGCCCGGGGCUCAACCUCGGAAUGGCAUCGGAAACUGGACGGCUUGAGUCCGGGAGGGGUCCGUGGAAUUCCUGGUGUAGGGGUGAAAUCCGUAGAGAUCAGGAGGAACACCGGAGGUGAAAACGACGGACUGGACCGGGACUGACGCUGAGGCGCGAAAGCGCGGGUAGCCAACA